AUAUUGGACAAUGGGCGAAAGCCUGAUCCAGCAAUGCCGCGUGAGUGAUGAAGGCCUUAGGGUUGUAAAGCUCUUUUACCAGGGAUGAUAAUGACAGUACCUGGAGAAUAAGCUCCGGCUAACUCCGUGCCAGCAGCCGCGGUAAUACGGAGGGAGCUAGCGUUGUUCGGAAUUACUGGGCGUAAAGCGCGCGUAGGCGGCUAUUUAAGUCAUGGGUGAAAUCCCGGGGCUCAACCCCGGAACUGCCUUUGAAACUGGAUAGCUAGAAUCUUGGAGAGGUCAGUGGAAUUCCGAGUGUAGAGGUGAAAUUCGUAGAUAUUCGGAAGAACACCAGUGGCGAAGGCGACUGACUGGACAAGUAUUGACGCUGAGGUGCGAAAGCGUGGGGAGCAAACAGG
rnacentral:rRNA from 1 species